GUGGCCUAAAAAUAAUUCGAGAAAAAAAAACUGGGUCGGAUUGGAAUCUCUCUUAAUCAGUUUUUAAGAAAAAACCAAAUAUGUAAACUACAUUUACCGAGUGAACAUAUUGUAGCAUUGCCACUUCUCAAAAAGAAAUCGAGGAAUUAUCUAAUGUUAUCAUAGCAAAAAUAAAAGUGACUAUGUCUAUAACAAUAAUGUAAGUUUGUUAAAAACAAAACAGUAUAACAGCUCUGCAACAUUUCGAGAUAUAAUACUUGGUAAACUCGCAUAAAGGUAAUGACCACGUUUCUACUGACGUCCAAUCAUAGUUAUCAAUAAAACAUAAUUGAAUGAAUAAAUAACGACUUCAGCAAUUUCAUUGUAGGAAAGUUUGAUAAGCAACUCGAUUGCAGGAAAGUUUGAUAAGCAAUUCCUUUGCAAGAAAUUUUGAUCAGCUAGCCAUGGUAGAGAAAAAUAACUUUGACACACAUUGCAUACAUGAAUAUGUGCAAUCUCUUAAUACCGAAUCCGAGGCUACAAAUAAAGUGUCACCGGCAAUCACAAAGAAUUUGUAUCGAAAUGGGAUUUUCACAUUAUUUUUGGUAAACUCCAACCAUUGUCUUUUUGGAUUAAGACUUGGUUCACUCGAUUGAAACUGUAAAAGAGACUUCAGGGCCACAUACAUUUAAUCAAUAUUAUUUAAAAUAAGAUCACUAGAAAUUAGAAACAAAUUUCGUUUUAAUUUAAGGAAGUUCUAAAUGCAAUAUUUUUUUUAUAUAAUCAAGCAUAUAUUUUUUUCGUGUUCAGAAGAUACUAUUCAACUGUGUAUAGAAAAUAAUACUGAAUACUGACAGCUUUACAAAAAUUUUGUAGUAUAUACGGCAAUAACAACAAAAUCUGUAAUACAAUCAGAAAGAAGAAGCAAAAGAAAAAAAAUGGGUUUUUUUUCUAUAUCAUUAAUACAGAACGAACGAUACGUGAAAGGAAAUGAGGUUGACAGAGAGCAAGAGGAAUUUUAACGAGCUCUAGAUUGUUAUGUAGUAAAGAAAAAAAAAAUUUUUUAAAACGGCAAUGGAAGUGCUUGUACUGCUUGCAAUACAUAUAGCAAAAACAGAAUGUAGAUAGCAAUGGUAGAGAAACUUCAAUAUACAACUUGAUGGAAAAUAAAUGUAGAAAGGCAGCAGAAGAGUAGUAUGCGCCAGAAUGAACAGUAAAAGCCUCUUUAAUACCUAUAUUUAAUCAGUUGGAAGCUUACAUAUUUUACCUUCAAAAAUUGUAAUCAAAAGAAAUAAGUAAUGUGUUUCCAAAUAAUUUUGUUAUUAGAAUAAAAUUAUUUGCAGCUUAGAGUAGAGAAGUAUUGAUUAUUUUUUCAAGUUUCACAAUACACAAACAUACAUAUGUAUAUGAAUAUUUUAUGUAUUAUGUUUUGUAUAAUUUCGCUCAUAUGAAAUGAGUUGUGUUAAUGAGAAAUAGUUGAUUUCAAAAUAAAACAAAGAUAAAGUUAAGAAAAACACAGUUGUUGUUUGUGUUG